rnacentral:rRNA from 1 species
UACGUAGGGUGCAAGCGUUAAUCGGAAUUACUGGGCGUAAAGCGUGCGCAGGCGGUUUUGUAAGUCUGUCGUGAAAUCCCCGGGCUCAACUUGGGAACUGCAUUUGAUACUGCCAAGCUAGAGUACAGAAGAGGUGACUGGAAUUCCCAGUGUAGCGGUGAAAUGCGUAGAUAUUGGGAGGAACACCAGAUGCGAAGGCGGGUCACUGGGCUGAUACUGACGCUAAAGCGCGAAAGCCAGGGGAGCGAACGGG